GGCGAACUCGACGCCGAUGGUGGACUUGGACUCGAGGCAGAACUCGCUGCGGGUGAAGCGGGAGAGGAGAUUGGACUUGCCCACCCCCGAGUCUCCGAAACGGAAGCUGACGAAGGAGGAGCAGAAGGAGGAGAAGCGUGGCGCCGGCGAGGGGCGGAAGGGGGCGGCGGAGGAGAAGGCGUGGAUUUGGGCGGAGGAGGCCAUGACGGACCGGCGGGGUGAGGAUUGGG
rnacentral:misc_RNA from 1 species